UUGUCUGUGGGCUUAAUUCUCUUUGUACAUUCGCUGAUAUUUAUUAUAAAUAAAUUCUUAGUGGACUAUGAGAUUUGAGUAAAUUUAAUACAUAAAUACUAUGGUUUUGUAUUUUAGAUGUAGUGUGUAUCAUCAUAGCCUAUAAAAAUAUAUUUUAGCCUUUUAAAAUAUAUAAUAUUCAAAGAACAGUAGUGGCUAGAAGAAUUGGAGUUUGCUCGAUGCCCCGUGAAAGGGUUAGAUACCGCGAUCGAAGAAGUUCGUCCUACAGUUCGGAUUCCUCCUAUGAUCGUAAAAAAUUGAAAAGCAAACAUAAACGACGUUCCCGCUCUAAGUCUAGCUCCCACAGAAGAAAACGAUCUAGUUCUAGAUCUAAAGUAAGGCGAAGGAGCCAUUCUAGAAGUGCAUCGAGAGAACAACAUGAAAGUAAGCAUCACCGUUCUUCAUCAAAGUCUCAAUCUAAAAGAUCAAAAUUUUCACGAGACAGGUCAAGAUCAACUUCUCGUGAUAUCAAAUACCAUAAAUCUACCAAAAAGCGUAGUAGAUCGAAUUCUUUUGAUAUAGAACCUCAAUUUAAAAAUAAUCUUGAUAGUACUAAUAAUAAAGCAGAAAAAUCUGCAAGAGCAGCAGAAGCAGUGGGCCUCUCAAUGACAAAAAUACCAACAUUUAACUGUCAGGAUGUUGAUGAGAAGGAAGACACUCCAACCAUACAUGACAGGAAUAUCCUAGAUGAGAUUAACAGUGAAAAAUUCAUUCCAAAAUCUUUUAGUUCUUCAAAAAAUAAGAAAGAAACACAAAAUAUUGUGAUAGAUCUAAAUUUGGAGACUAUCAAAGUUCCUGAAACUGAAGUGAAAUUAAAAAAAGAUGAAUGUAUAAUAAACUUUGAUAUCCCAAAAAAUGGAAAUGGAAAAAAGGAAUCCACUCCGAAAAAUGCUGUUUGAUACUCUAUUUCAUGUUCUUGUGAGACACUGAAAUAUCAAGAAGAACAUUUGUUUUGCUAUGAAUAACAGAUGUUACCAAGCCCGGAAGAACUCAAAGAAAUGUGGAUCAAGAAACUUUAUCAAUUCAGAAAGAAAAUGCUUAAGGGAGAUAUAUCAUGAUGAAUAUUGAAAUAAUCUGUUUAAGUUCAUAAUAAAUAAGUUGAAAUGAGAAUAA